GGGGAGGAGUGGAGCACCUCUCGGGCACCUGAGGUUCAACUAGGAGAGGAGGGAGGUGUGUGCGGCGGCCAGAAGGAAGGGGAGGCCCGGCGGAUUCGGCGAGAAGGGGAGGGAGGAGAGAGAGAGCCUCCUGGCGCGGACGGAACCCGCCUCUCGUUGCCAAGGUGUCUUCUUGGAAUCGAAGAAGGACACCUGAGGGACCGUUACUAGCCAGAGAGGUGGCAGCGCCGGAGUCACCGAGGCUGCCGUGCUCGUCUAAGGGGAGCAGAGUCCCCACCCCUGACAGCUUGCCGCUGCUGCCCGCCUGCCGCGCCCGGCGAAAACUCGGAAAGAGAUUUCCACUGGGAUGCCCUGCCAGCUGCCACCUUCAUUCGGAAGGCGGUGUGGGGCUAAAGAUCCUGAGGACGAGGAACGGGAAAGAUUCCUUGCUUUACAGCUGCCGCCCCACCAAACCUCUCCCACAUUCUAAGCAAAGGAGGAUUCCUGGGACAGCUGCUCCGAACAGCGUGGAGGCGGGGUUAAUUUGCGCCUAGAUCGCUGAGGGGUGUUUUUCCUCUCCUGAUCUUCUAAUUUGAAAGUUAGGUUCGCAUCGUUCUCAGUUUAAGAGACCAAUUAUAUGGGGAUAGAAACCAGCACAGGUCAUCAUAAUCUGGGCCCCUCCCGUCCACUCCCACUAUUAAGGUUACUGUUAACAUUAUUAACAGUAAAGCAUUCUUCCUGAUGCAUUAGUGGAAAACAUAUUAUAGAGGAAAGUAGCUUUUCACCCUUAGGGUACUCUUUGAAUCCUUAAGGCCUUAAAAAUAGAUAAUGUUUAAAAUACUCGCAGUUAAAAGAAAAAGAAAAGAAAAGAAAAGAACUCGCAGUUAAAAGGAACCAAAAGGUGGGGUCAAAGAAAAGUUACGAAGUUCUACAGAGAAGUCAGAAGAAAAAUUAUAUUGGUUUGAGAGAGGCAAUAGUUUCCCUGAGAAAAAGUUAUUUGAGAUGGGCUUGGAAAGUGAACUGGAUUUUAUCACAUGGAACUAUGGGAGGAGGGAGGCAGCGUGAGAAAAGAGAGGCACAGGAAUGUCCACUGUAGAAGUUUUAAAAGUUUACAACUUUUUGGAGUUCCAGUCAUGGUGCAGUGGAAGCAAAUCUGACUAGGAGCCAUGAGGUUGCAGGUUGGGUCCCUGGCCUUGCUCAGUGGGUUAAGGAUCUGGCAUUGCCAUGAGCUGUGGUGCAGGUCACAGAUGCACUAAAAUGAAUUCAACUGUACCGCAUCUCAUGGUUACAAAUGUUUGUUAAAGAUUUGUUUUCCAUGAGUAGGUUUAAUAUCCCAAAUGUUUUUCUCAUGAUCUGAAAUGAUGACUUGUACAUUGCCAGGGUAAAAGGCAGUAUCAACAGCUUGCCAUUCCUGAAAAUUUAAGCACCUCAGGUUUAUAUUCUAAAUCCUUCAAUGAAUGUCAGCAAAAGGGGGAAGUAGGUGUGCCAGCAGGAGAGAGACAACUUUCACUUCACUGUUAACGCAUUCGGAAGGAGGAAGGCAGGCAUUAAGCCUGACUUCUCACAGAAUCUUGUUGCCUGGGUUUGGACAAAUAGUUUAACCUUGAGUAUGUUAACAUAUCUGGCGAAUAAGUGCUAGUAGAAUAUUCACUAACAAAUAAAUGUCCUCCAUUGAGAAGAAACAGAUAAUAAUAGUGAAACACCCUAAACACAGAGUGGUCACAGGUAUUCAAUCUAAAUGAUCUAAGGUUAAGUUUUGUGUCUGUCAUGGAUUUGUCAGCUCCCUAUUAACGCUGUUCUACUGGUGAAACAAAAGGAGACAUAAGACAAUUAGCCAACUGUUGUUUACAAUUUUUCAGAAUUAUUCAGUCUCCUGCUUUACUUUGCCUCUGGUUACAGUAAAAUAGUUGGCAAUAAUCAGAGGUUCACUGCAGAAGGAAGGACGAGGAAAACUUCACUUCUAGCUAAGUCACAGUUAAAACAACAGUAGCUGUGGAUUAUCGUGUAGGUGUGAAGAAUACAGCCGUUCAGUUCCCCCUCAUGGCUCAGCGAUUAAUGAACCUGACUAGUAUCCACAAAGAGGAGGGUUUGAUCCCUGGCCUCACUCAGUGGGUUAAGGAUCCAGCAUUGCCAUCAGCUGUGGUGUAGGUCACAGAUGCGGCGCAGAUUCUCCGUUGCUGUGGCUGUGGUGUAGGCUGGCAGCUGUAGCUCUGGUCUGACCCCCUAGCCUGGGAACCUCCAUGUGCCCAGGGUAUGGCCCUAAAAAGACAAAACAAAAAAAA
rnacentral:lncRNA from 1 species